rnacentral:rRNA from 1 species
GAUGAACGCUGGCGGCGUGCCUAAUACAUGCAAGUCGAGCGAACGGACGAGAAGCUUGCUUCUCUGAUGUUAGCGGCGGACGGGUGAGUAACACGUGGAUAACCUACCUAUAAGACUGGGAUAACUUCGGGAAACCGGAGCUAAUACCGGAUAAUAUUUUGAACCGCAUGGUUCAAAAGUGAAAGACGGUCUUGCUGUCACUUAUAGAUGGAUCAGCGCUGCAUUAGCUAGUUGGUAAGGUAACGGCUUACCAAGGCAACGAUGCAUAGCCGACCUGAGAGGGUGAUCGGCCACACUGGAACUGAGACACGGUCCAGACUCCUACGGGAGGCAGCAGUAGGGAAUCUUCCGCAAUGGGCGAAAGCCUGACGGAGCAACGCCGCGUGAGUGAUGAAGGUCUUCGGAUCGUAAAACUCUGUUAUUAGGGAAGAACAUAUAUGUAAGUAACUGUGCACAUCUUGACGGUACCUAAUCAGAAAGCCACGGCUAACUACGUG